AUGCACGCUGACAGAAUGCUUCACACAUGCCAGUCAACUUGAAUUUGGGUUUUUAACUUAGGUUUGGGUGGCGGACGGGUGAGUAACGCGUAAAGAACUUGCCUCACAGCUAGGGACAACAUUUGGAAACGAAUGCUAAUACCUAAUAUUAUGAUAAUAGGGCAUCCUAUAAUUAUGAAAGCUAUAAGCGCUGUGAGAGAGCUUUGCGUCCCAUUAGCUAGUUGGAGAGGUAACGGCUCACCAAGGCGAUGAUGGGUAGCCGGCCUGAGAGGGUGAUCGGCCACAAGGGGACUGAGACACGGCCCUUACUCCUACGGGAGGCAGCAGUGGGGAAUAUUGGACAAUGGACCAAGAGUCUGAUCCAGCAAUUCUGUGUGCACGAUGAAGUUUUUCGGAAUGUAAAGUGCUUUCAGUUGGGAAGAAAGAAAUGACGGUACCAACAGAAGAAGUGACGGCUAAAUACGUG
rnacentral:rRNA from 1 species